CUUAUACUCCCUCCAUCCCAAAAUAAGUGACUCCAAAAUGACUCAAUUUUUUACUAGUUUAGUACAAAAUUGAGUCAUUUUUGAGUCACUUAUUUUGGGACGGAGGCAGUAUCUU
rfam:Hordeum vulgare subsp. vulgare, WGS project CAJW01000000 data, contig: morex_contig_1692443